rnacentral:rRNA from 1 species
UACGUAGGGUGCGAGCGUUAAUCGGAAUUACUGGGCGUAAAGCGUGCGCAGGCGGUUUUGAAAGCCGGAUGUGAAAUCCCCGGGCUCAACCUGGGAAUGGCAUUCGUGACUGCAAGGCUGGAGUGCGGCAGAGGGGGGUGGAAUUCCGCGUGUAGCAGUGAAAUGCGUAGAGAUGCGGAGGAACACCGAUGGCGAAGGCAGCCCCCUGGGCCAACACUGACGCUCAGGCACGAAAGCGUGUGGAGCAAACAGG